AUUGAACGCUGGCGGCAGGCCUAACACAUGCCAGUCGAGCGGAUGAAGGGAGCUUGCUCCUGGAUUCAGCGGCGGACGGGUGAGUAAUGCCUAGGAAUCUGCCUGGUAGUGGGGGAUAACGUCCGGAAACGGGCGCUAAUACCGCAUACGUCCUGAGGGAGAAAGUGGGGGAUCUUCGGACCUCACGCUAUCAGAUGAGCCUAGGUCGGAUUAGCUAGUUGGUGGGGUAAAGGCCUACCAAGGCGACGAUCCGUAACUGGUCUGAGAGGAUGAUCAGUCACACUGGAACUGAGACACGGUCCAGACUCCUACGGGAGGCAGCAGUGGGGAAUAUUGGACAAUGGGCGAAAGCCUGAUCCAGCCAUGCCGCGUGUGUGAAGAAGGUAUUCGGAUUGUAAAGCACUUUAAGUUGGGAGGAAGGGCAGUAAGUUAAUACCUUGCUGUUUUGACGUUACCAACAGAAUAAGCACCGGCUAACUUCGUG
rnacentral:rRNA from 1 species